rnacentral:rRNA from 1 species
AUGGGCAUGGGCACGGCACUACAGCCGGCCAUGGCCGCCGCGGCCUCGAACACGGUCCACCGGCCGCGGCCGCUGCCUGCCGCGAAUCGCGGCACCAGCCGCCCCACCGCCUCCGCGCCGCCCGUGAGAGCGCUGGUCUGCUCGGCUCCCCCUCAGUCGAGGCCGCCGCGGCACGCCGUCUCGACCACGGCCCGGGCGGCGGAGGCUGGGGCAGCGUCGUCCACCUCGCCGGACGCCGUCACCUACUCCUCCAGCAUCGACACCGACAUGCCCCUCUACGAGCCCCCGGGGGUGUCGUUCGACGAGUACCUCCAGGACCGGCCCCGCGUGUUCCGCGCCAUGUUCCCCGACGAGAGCCGGAGCCAGCAGCUCAGCGAUGAGGAGUGGAGGAUCCAGAUGCUGCCGCUGGAGUUCCUCUUCAUCACCGUGCGCCCCGUCGUCGUGAUGCAGCUGCGCAACCGCGCCGCCGGCGGGCUCGACCUCCGAAUCACCGAGUGGGAGCUGAGGGGGCUGGACAGCGGCUACACGCCGGCGAGCUUCGACCUGGGCGUGCGGGGGUCGCUGUACGCGGACAGGGGGCAGCGGCGCGGCAGCCGGCUGAGGGGCCACCUGGAGAUCUCCAUCACCGUCGCCCUCCCGCCGCCCAUGCGGAUCGUGCCGGAGGCCGUCCUCCGGGGCGUCGCCGAGUCGGUCCUGUCGACGCUUGCCGAGAGGAUGAAGCGGGACGUGGACGUCGGCCUCGUCGCCGACUUCCGGAGGUUCCGGCUGGAGAAGGCGGCGUCCAGAGCGGCGGUGACGAGAGCAGACAGCAAAGCCUGA